GAUGAACGCUGGCGGCGUGCUUAACACAUGCAAGUCGAGCGAGAAGUUUUGAACAGAUUCUUCGGAUGAAAUUUAAAAUGGAAAGCGGCGGACGGGUGAGUAACGCGUAGGCAACCUGCCCCAUACAAAGGGAUAGCAUUUGGAAACGAAUAUUAAUACCUUAUGAAACUUAACUAGUGCAUGCUAGGUAGGUCAAAGAUUUAUCGGUAUGGGAUGGGCCUGCGUCUGAUUAGCUAGUUGGUGAGGUAACGGCUCACCAAGGCGACGAUCAGUAGCCGACCUGAGAGGGUGAACGGCCACAUUGGAACUGAGACACGGUCCAAACUCCUACGGGAGGCAGCAGUGGGGAAUAUUGCACAAUGGGGGAAACCCUGAUGCAGCAACGCCGCGUGAACGAUGAAGGCCUUUGGGGCGUAAAGUUCUGUUCUAGGUGAUGAAAACUGACAGUAACCUAGGAGAAAGCCCCGGCUAACUCCGUG
rnacentral:rRNA from 1 species